rnacentral:lncRNA from 1 species
CGUAACUACAGUCCCGUUCCCUUUUCACGAAUGUGACCUAUCGAAUUAGACCAUUAACCGGGUUUGUAAUAAUAUGAACAAAACGAUUGAUGUCACAUGUGGAGCAGGGUCUGCCUACCCUUCCGGAGCACCUGAGAUCACCCCCAGUUUAUGAUGGGGUUCGUGUUGCUUAUUAUGUAGUUUUAUAUGUUGUGUUUUCUCUAUUAUUGUUGUCUGUUUGUCUUUUAAUUUUUAGCAAUGAUGGCGGCGUCAGUUUAUUUUUGAUUUAUGAAUUUGAAUGUCCCUCGGGUACUUUUCUUCUCUCUUUUAUUCAAUACUCAAAAACUUUUGUUUUCCACCAUAAAUUUCUUAAAAGAAGGUAAGUUGUUUUCCUAAUAGAAGGUAAGUUGUUACAAGGAAGAUAUUGAAACGGUGGUUUCUACUAGAACCUUCCAAGUCCUGCUUUAAAAU